CUUAGAGCUGUCAAAUCAGAAGCAAGAAAAUCUAAAGGUCACUGUGAAAAAUAUAUAGUAGAGAAAGGGUGGUGGUGGCAAGAACCAGUUAUUGUGGCUACAUAUAGUGCUAAUUGAAUUUCCUGUUAGAUUCAAUACAUGGUGUAAGAUAAAUAGAGGAGUUGAUGAAAAUUCAAAUAUUUUUGACAAUGCUAAUAGGAUAGAGGCUAUUUGCAAAUAUUUUUAUAUGUUCAUUUUUAUAAAAUAUGGAACCCUUGAAUAAAAGCACAUCUGAAGGGGGUGAUCAGAGUAUGAAAAGGUUAGAUUGAGUUCCGAUUGUGGCAUAUUAAUUUGAGAUUGUCUACCGUACUAUAUGUUCAAGGAAAAAUGUCAAAUUGUUAAUUAAACUUGACUCUGGAUUUUAAAAUAGAGGCCAUAACUGGCGAUGCAUUUUUUUUUAAUUCUCAGCAUCUAAAUGAUAUUUGAAGCCAUGAGACAGGAUUUAGGAACCAGGAGAGUGAAUCUUGAUAAUAAACGCAGUGGCCUCAAAUUCAGCUGUGGAACAUUUCAAAGUUACAUGGUUGGAGAUUGGACGAUGAGUUUCUGAAUGAAGUAAGAAGGACCUGCAAGCAAGACAUGAGAGAGAAGAGGGAAGGUUAUGUUGUCCCUGAAAUAAAGGAACAGUUUCCAGAGCCACAGAGCCAUCAAAGGUCUUCUGUUCAACCUAUCUGCUGCAUCCUAGAUGAUGAAACACAAUUCUCAGAAAGUACUGGCUCCAAACUGACAUUUUAGCUGUGCGGGCCUUUUCAACUCUCUCUCCAGCUGACAGCUUCUGGAUGGUUCUGGGGACUGAGAAGUUUAAGAUCAAGGCAGCCGCAAGUUUGGUGUCUGAUAAGGACCCCACCUCUGCUUCUAAGAUGCAACCUCCAGAGGGAGGGAACACUGUUCCCCACAUGGCAGAACAGAGGAGCUGAAAUUCAUUUCUGAAUGCCCUUUUCAACAGUUGUUUAACCCACCCAUGUGGGCAGAUCCCUCCUGGCCUAAUCACCUCAUAAAGGCCUCACUUCCCAAUAUCAUUACACUGAUGAUUAAAUAUCAACGUUAAGUUUUGAUAUAAAUAUUCAAACCAUGGCAGUUGUCUAUUUGAAUUUUACCUUCAAAAACUCUGUUCACUUACAUUAUCAUGUGGAACACCAUACUUCUUUGAGUUUGCUUCUUUCUUUCUCUCUCUCUCCCUCUCUGGAUAUGCCUUCUCAGUUCCUCUUCAUUCAAUUUAUUCUGCCUGUUCUUUACAAUAUGUCUAUUAUUUAGAGAUCAGUGACAGUUCAAAUUGCUUCUUAUUUGUAAUGACUUUUAUCUCAUUUUCAUGCCUUUAAUUAUUAUUGAUGGACUGAUAAUUCCCAGGUCUCUUCUGCCAGCUCAGAUAUCACUAAUCAUAGCUGGAUUUAUAUAUACACUGCUUUUGAGACAUCAUUCAAAUCAUGCUUCUCAAAAGAUGACCCAAGUUCUUUGAUUCUUAGUUGUUGGGGUGUGUGUGUGUGUAUGUGUAUGUGUGUGUGUGUGUGCACAUAUUUCUAUACACGGCACUACUACAAUUCACCCACACCCCAAGUCAGACACAAGUUCAUUGACAUUGUCACAGGCCACAGACAAUGAUGUCACAGAAACUCUUAGUGAAAUUGUAUACUUUUGAGGGUGCGAUCCCAGAAUCUGAAGCCAGAAUCAUGCUUUUUUAAAGUAACUGCAUGAUCUUGGGCAAUUAAUGCAAUAAUUCUGUGCCUUAAUUCCCACAUCUGCCAAAUUGAAAUUAAAGUAGAACUCAACACAAAGGUUUUUGUGUGGGUUAAAUACAUUGAGAUAUACACAGCACCUAACUAUAUAAACACUCUAUGUGGCAGCUACUGCUGUGUUAAGAGUAUCAUGAUUGAUAACAUCUACUAAAUCUCUCCCUCUUGCCUCACUGUUAUUUUGCUAAUUCAGAAUUCUAUGAUUUUGAAAGUAUCACUGAAAAAGCUAACUUCUCUCUGAAAAAGCUAACUUCUCUCCUCAGUGUUGUUGGUUCAUAAUCCUUUCUAUGUAUUACAGUGAUUUUACUAAAAUGGGAAUAGGAUCAAGUUGCUUCUUUAAAUAAAAUUCUUUAAUAAGGUUAUACAAUAUUUUCCUAUAUGUUCAUUCUUGUUCCUCCUGGCUAUCCAUCCGCCUUAUUAGGAAUUUUCUGGUUGUUUUAUCUUUCUACAUAAAAUUUGGGCUUGACUUCACAGUGAUUGCAGAAAACAUUUCUAUUUUACUGUUCUUUUAAAUUUAUAUAUUAAUAUUGACAGAAUUGUCAUCAUUAUGGUGUUGUGUUUUUAUUACAAG
rnacentral:lncRNA from 10 species